rnacentral:rRNA from 1 species
CGGCUGCGGGUGCUAUACAUGCAGUCGAGCGAAGAGAUGGGAGCUUGCUCCCUGAUCUUAGCGGCGGACGGGUGAGUAACACGUGGGCAACCUGCCCUGCAGACUGGGAUAACUCCGGGAAACCGGAGCUAAUACCGGGUAAUACAUCGCACCGCAUGGUGCAAUGUUGAAAGUUGGCUUUCUGAGCUAACACUGCAGGAUGGGCCCGCGGCGCAUUAGCUAGUUGGUAAGGUAAUGGCUUACCAAGGCGACGAUGCGUAGCCGACCUGAGAGGGUGAUCGGCCACACUGGGACUGAGACACGGCCCAGACUCCUACGGGAGGCAGCAGUAGGGAAUCUUCCGCAAUGGACGAAAGUCUGACGGAGCAACGCCGCGUGAGUGACGAAGGCCUUCGGGUCGUAAAGCUCUGUUGUUAGGGAAGAACAAGUACCGUUCGAAUAGGGCGGUACCUUGACGGUACCUAACCAGAAAGCCACGGCUAACUACGUGCCAGCAGCCGCGGUAAUACGUAGGUGGCAAGCGUUGUCCGGAAUUAUUGGGCGUAAAGCGCGCGCAGGCGGUCUUUUAAGUCUGAUGUGAAAGCCCACGGCUCAACCGUGGAGGGUCAUUGGAAACUGGAGGACUUGAGUGCAGAAGAGGAGAGUGGAAUUCCACGUGUAGCGGUGAAAUGCGUAGAUAUGUGGAGGAACACCAGUGGCGAAGGCGGCUCUCUGGUCUGUAACUGACGCUGAGGCGCGAAAGCGUGGGGAGCAAACAGGAUUAGAUACCCUGGUAGUCCACGCCGUAAACGAUGAGUGCUAGGUGUUGGGGGGUUCCACCCUCAGUGCUGAAGUUAACACAUUAAGCACUCCGCCUGGGGAGUACGACCGCAAGGUUGAAACUCAAAGGAAUUGACGGGGGCCCGCACAAGCAGUGGAGCAUGUGGUUUAAUUCGAAGCAACGCGAAGAACCUUACCAGGUCUUGACAUCUCUGACAUCCUGAGACAGGACGUUCCCUUCGGGGACAGAGUGACAGGUGUGCAUGAUGUCGUCAGCUCGUGUCGUGAGAUGUUGGGUUAAGUCCCGCAACGAGCGCAACCC